CAACUUCUCGACGCUAAAGGAAAGUGAGAGAAAAAGAAAAAGGACAACAAAUUUAGUAUUUGUAUACUAGAUGCAAGAACUACAGUACCAGGAAGUAGGAGACAUCAGGGAAAGAAUAAUUCAAAGAAGAGCCAGGAGAACAGCCUGGCUUACAGUGCCUCUACCUCUUCAAGAUUCUAAGGUCAACGUUCUAACUAAGGAAUUGCUAAUGAUGCUUCUGGGCAGCUUCCAGGAAGGACGGGGGUCUCAGGGUACCAUGACGAAGCCAAUCGCUUCAGGAAUGGCCAGGAUAAAGGACAGGAUCCAGAUGGAGACAAUUUCAAUGGCAGUUACCAAAGGAAUCCCAAUUCCCUGAACACGACUCCAGGAGGCAACUGCUCUGUACCUGAAAAAAAAGUUCCAGGUCUGGCCUCUGAAAGGAGCCUUGAGCCUGCCGGAGCAAAAACAUUGAGAGGACCCUGAGACUACAUGGAGGGGGAGAUGGGCUCUGCUGAGCUCAGACUUCCAGCUGUCCCUGCCAAGGUGCCAGGCAUGUGGGUGUUGCACCUCUGACACAAGCUCAGAGUCAGCUGAAGUUCACCAACCCCAGCUGAAGUGACAAGGAGCAGAAGAAUUGCCCAAAUUCCUGACCUUCAACAUGGUGAGAUAUGAUAAAACGGUUGUUGUUCUGAAUUGCUAAGUUUUGGGGUAGUUAUCAAAGAGAAAUGGGGUAGCAAAAUUAACCAGUUGCCUGAUCUUGAAAAUAGAAUAAGAUAAAAGAACAAAUAACUCAGUGCAAUAGUGAACAGACUCCCAAAUAAGAUCCUAUUGCCCUACCCAGCCUUGGACUUUGUCCAGUUCCCUGCUCAUGUCUUCUGGCUCAGACCCUUCCUCUGUGUCUUCACUAUUGUCACGGUGCAAUAGAAAACUAUAACACCAGGAAAAUAAGGAGAAACCAAGUCCAACUCUAACAAAGAGGUUUUUCUGAAAACCACCUUCAUGUUUCUUGAGUUAGGAUAUACCUUUGAGAAUAUCACAGAGACCACUGAGCAAUUAUUUGAAAUGAUGGAUUCAAGAACUGACAUCAGCUUUUCAGCCAUAUAAAACAAAGCUGCCUUAUUAAUGGAUCUUUGCAACUUUUCCAAGUAUCUAAUAACACAUCACUCUGGAAUAGUUGUUAAAAGAGUUUUAUCUUUUUAUAGCCUUCUUCCCCAGGCAACUUUUAACAAGUUGGAUCUGUACCCAGACCUUUUUACUGGUCUGAUCCCAUCAUCAUCAUCUUCCACUUUAACACAACUUUGCAAAGAACAACAGUGAUCCCUCCUACCCCCCUCCUGCUGCUGCUUUUUUUUUUUUUUUUUGCCUCCGAACAUACUCAAAGUAAUAUAUAAAACUUGUCACUUUCAGCAUGUAAAAAUACCUAUUUUAAUAGCUGGUAAUGGCUGGUUAUUCAUUUCUGUUGGGAAAAGUUUGUUCGUUAUAGAAGUAUACUGCCUUAGAAUUAAAAAGAUAAUUCACCGAAAAAGCUGGAUAGGGGUCAAAAUUUGUUUCUGAAUUUCUUCAGUUCCUGAUUUGUCUUUUUCUCAAAUGACCAAGGAUGUGAAACUAGAUUUGUGGAGGAAUUAUUCAAAAAGUUAAACUGAGACAAGUCCAUAGUUGAAAUUAGCAAUGAAAGCCUAUCCAUUCUGGCAGAAAUCAUGUGCUUUCUCUCAGUCCUGUUUAUCUUAUUCAGAUUAAAAGCUGAUAGUGAGAAAGCUAGAUCUUUUCUUUGAUCUUACAUCAUUCUGUAAUCAUUGAUUAAUGAAGUAAUGAAGAAAUCCUAUAGAACUUGGAUGUAUGGUUUCUCUCAUUUUCUUUCAAACAACUCUGAAAUGUGAGAUAAUUAUGUUUUUAAAAUACUGUGUAAAAAAAUCAUGAGAACUCUUUGUCCUGGGCCAUAACUUAUUCAGCUCAUAAAAUGAAAGUAGGGAUUCACAAACUGCAACAGAUUCCAAACUCCCUUUUCAUUCCUUGUUUCAUUUUAAAAAGUGUUGUUUUUUUUUGUUUUUUGUUUUUUGUUUUUGUAGUAGUAGUAGAAUAUAAUGCAACCAAAUGAAGAGUUAAAGCAAAUGGAAUCUUAUCUUCAGGAAUUAAGUGUGAAUGAUUCAUUCUCUCGUGUGAAAGCUUUUGAAAUAGAAAUGUCAAAUAGAUUCCCUACAUACAAGUCCUGAAGCUUAGGGUCAAUACCAAAUGAAAUGUAAAAAUAGUAAAUUGUGUGUCUAGGGAACAAAGAAUGAUUAGUUUAUUUUCAAGGAAAAACCUUUUGGAUUAAGGCUGAUUUUUGUGAGAGUGGAAUUUUAAAAUAGUUCAUCUCCUUGAUCUACAACUCAGAUCAAAUCUUAAUGAGAUAGAUUCUUGGCAUCAUUUUUUCUUACUUUCAUUGUUUUUCUUUUCUUUCUUUUCCUUCCCUUCCUUCCUUCAGUCCUUCCUUUCUUUUUAACUAAGAAUCACUCACAUUUCAUUUGAUACACAACUAUUUAUCGUGAUGGAACAUCUUAUUUCUCUUUCUUCAUGCAUGAGAUGAAGAGAGGAGGUGGUAUGGGUGAGGUGACCCGACACUAGAUAUAGGAAUCUAUGACCUAACCUUCCCGCUAUCUUCCCGACUCAACACUGGGCAUGAUUGAAGCUCCGCAUGAUGCUCCGAGAUCCCCCCAAGGAAGAAAGAGGAGGCAGAACAAAAAAGUGAGGAGGAACCAGCUCUGCCCCCUGGGCCUGUGAGAGGAGUGUCAAUUUUUCCCAGCUUAUUACUU